AUACGGAGGAUCCGAGCGUUAUCCGGAUUUAUUGGGCUUAAAGGGUGCGCAGGCGGCCAUUUAAGUCAGCGGUUAAAUCGUGGGGCUCAACCCCAUUCUGCCGUUGAUACUGGGUGGCUUGAUGGCGGUCGAGGUUGGCGGGAUUUGUUGUGGAGCGGUGAAAUGCAUAGAUAUGACGAAGAACCCCGAUUGCGUAGGCAGCUGACCAGACCGCAAAUGACGCUCAUGCACGAAAGUGCGGGGAUCGAACAGGAUAGAUACCCUGGUAGUCCGCACAGUAAACGAUGAAUACUUGUUUUCGGCGAUAUAAUGUCGGAGGCAAAGCGAAAGCGAUAAGUAUUCCACCUGGGGAGUACGCCGGCAACGGUGAAACUCAAAUGAAUUGGCGGGG
rnacentral:rRNA from 1 species